GUCGCUACUACCGAUUGAAUGAUUUAGUGAGUACCAGGGACCGUGACUUUUGAUUGGGUUUCCUUUCAUUUGUUAUGGGAACUGUCGCAAACUUGACCAUUUAGAGGAAGUAA
rnacentral:rRNA from 1 species